rnacentral:lncRNA from 1 species
UUGAUGGUGAAGUAGCUUGAAUGGUGAUAAGUGUGUCUUGGUUGAUCAAGCUUCUACCAAGACAUUCCUCUUGCUUCCAUGACAUCUUAACCAAUCCUCCAAUAGCUUGCGUGAGCUUCCUUGAUCUUGAUCGAGUUAGAGGUCCUUUAGAUAAGACUAGAACAUCUUCAUCAGCCGGCUUAUCUAGAUCCUCAUCAUCUUCAUUAGCUAGUUGGUCCAUGAUCA